rnacentral:rRNA from 1 species
UACGUAGGGUGCAAGCGUUGUCCGGAAUUAUUGGGCGUAAAGAGCUCGUAGGCGGUCAGUCGCGUCUGCUGUGAAAACUCGGGGCUUAACUCCGGGCCUGCAGUGGGUACGGGCUGACUAGAGUGCGGUAGGGGAGACUGGAAUUCCUGGUGUAGCGGUGAAAUGCGCAGAUAUCAGGAGGAACGCCGAUGGCGAAGGCAGUGUUCUGGGCCAGUACUGACGCUGAGGAGCGAAAGCGUGGGGAGCAAACAGG